AGGGUGUAAACGCUGCAGACUUGGUGUUGGAAGCCCUUUGGGGGCAUUCAGUGCCGGAGAGAAGUUGUUAAGUCUGCUACUUGGGGAGUACGUCCGCAAGGAUGAAACUUAAAGGAAUUGGCGGGGAAGCACCGCAACGGGAGGAGCGUGCGGUUUAAUUGGAUUCAACACCGUAAACUCACCAGGGAAGACUGUUACAUGAAGGCCGAGAUGAAGACUCUGCUAGAUUUUCAGAGAGGAGGUGCAUGGCGUCAGUGACU
rnacentral:rRNA from 1 species